GAUGAACGUUGGCGGCGUGCCUAACACAUGCAAGUCGAACGCUAGUAGCAAUAUUAGAGUGGCGCACGGGUGAGUAACACGUAGCUUACCCACCUCCCAGCGCGGGAUAACGGUUCGAAAGAACUGCUAAUACCGCAUAAGCUCACGGGCUAUGGAGGCUAGUGAGAAAAGGCUUAGGUCACUGGGAGCGGGGGCUGCGGCCCAUCAGCUGGUUGGGGCGGUAACGGCGCACCAAGGCGACGACGGGUAGGGGACC
rnacentral:rRNA from 1 species